UUAUCUAGCAAUAAUGACAUCAACAAAAUUGGUAUGUAGUGUCUUCAUCUCGAAGAAAGACUGGCGCUAUUUUUAGGCAUCUGAUAUGUUUCACUGGGGUGGAGUCUGUAAACAGCAAGGCGCACGUCCAAAAGCGGAAGUCGCGUCACAGGCUCUCCUUCCUUUCCCCUGAAAAAAACCUGGAUGUUUCUGGUUUCUAUUGACCCCACUGAAGGUGCACCUUUUCAGACCAUGAAAUAAUUACUGUUCUUUAAUUGGUCUAUAGGAAUCUGGUCCCGGGAAAUUGGCCAGCUGAUUGGCUUUGAGCACCCCACUAUCCCUGUCCAUCACCAGUAUGCUGUCAAAGCAACAGUGCCUGAGGUGAAAGGCCCUGAAGACAGAGCUGCCAGUGAUCAGGGACCUGGAGGGCUCAUAAUACCUCAGACAGGAGAGAGAGAGAGACGGACUGCUGUUUGGGCCCUACGAGAGAGAGAAGAUUGUGCUGCAGGACUCCUGGGUUACAAAUGGAGUACCACCAGGAGCUGUUUGAGUCAGACCAGGACCGUAUCAUGGACCAUGUGGAGAUGGACAUGGAGAUGGUACCUGUGGUGAAGAAUGCGGACAUCAUCAACACUGUGUCUGGACCAAUCACCUCCACUCCUGACCUCCUGCCCAGGGCGCAGGCAACCACUGGACCGGCAUCGGCUUCGGGUAAGCCUUGUUACGUUUGGUUGACUGGGAGUGGGAGGUUGAAGGUCAAAGGCAUUACCGCAUGGUCCGACUGUGUGCGAUGUCCCAGGUAUGGGAUGAUCCACGGUGGUGGCAUCGGGAAGUUCCUCAGUGAUUGGAUUGUGACUGGGGACCCCCCCCUCUAUGACCUCAAUGGCAAAUGGACAACGGUACCCUAUAUGUGUACCAAGGUCAGAGUCCUAUGGAUUCAACAAAGUAGCAGGCUACUCUAAAGAGGAGUGUUUUGCGGGCCGUCCGACCCACAGGAUCAGUGUAUGAGCUACUAAAAGGCCGAGUUUCAGGCGUACCAACUGGUUCGGUCUAACCUGGUGAUGGAGAAGGUUGAGGUCGUGGACCUUACACCCUUCAGCAAGUUCAUGGUUAAAGGGGAGGACUCCCAAAAACAACUGGACAGACUGUUCGCUAACACUAUGCCCAAGUGGGCCUAAUUAACAUCAACCAUAUGUCGAACCCCACUCGGAGAGUCUACACUGAGGUCACCAUUACCCCGCUCGCACCUGGAGAGUUCCUCCUCAUCACAGGACCGGAUCAGAACUGCACGACCUCAGGUGGAUAGGAGACAGAAGGAGGGAUAACGUAGACAUCUCUAACGUGACAGAGGACAUUGGGGUGUUGGCUGUGGCUGGACCAAAGACUAGAGACGUCCUCCUGAGUGACUUUCUGUAGAACAUGAGCGGCCCCCGAGUGGUGCAGUGGUCCAAGGCACUGCAACUCAGUGCAAGAGGCGUUACUACAGUCCCUGGUUCAAAUCUAGGCUGUAUCACAUCCAGCCGUGAUUGGGAGUCCUAUAGGGCGGUGCACA